GUACUGUCUCAUUGUUUUUAUGUAUGAGAGUCAGAAGAAGUCUGUUUUUCUUUUGGAAGUGGAAAGUAGGACUUCAUGAACUUCCGUAAAAUUUUCAAGCUUUCUUCAUGAUUCAAUUUAUUUGUUUUUUGUUAAUCAGAUAUUGAUGCAUAUAUCAUUUAAGAGUGUUAUCAUUAAGUAUCCUAUGUUGAGCAUGGUUUUCUUAUGCAAGAUUCAAACACAAGGUAUUUAAGUUGCAAGCAGGAAUUGUUAUAUUGAGUAAAGUCUGAAAUCCUGGCCCUGUACCUGGUAUCAGUCAGGGACCUAGUUGGUACCAUCUCAACACUUGGGGCUUGCUGGCAUCCUGAUAAUUCACUAGGAUGUAUCCUUUUUAAUCUUUUUUUUUUAAGUUUUUUCUGUUGUUCGUUGUUUUUAAUGAUUAUUUAGAGGAUUUAAGGUCUGUUUAUAUCAUAAGUUUAGAUUGGAGAGGUUUUAAUGGAAUAGGUUGGGUUUAUGGUGCUGGUACAUAUACUAGAACCAUUCUUCUUUUGGCUAUUUUCUUGCAUGGAAGGGAAGGAAAGAGAGAAGGGAGAAAGAAGGAAGGAGAGAAGCAAACAGGCAGAUCUAGUUUCCAUUGCUCAGAUCCAGCUCCUCCAAGUCCAAACCCAGACUGGAACUCGGUGCUAUUUAUUUGUUAAGCGAGCUAACAAACUUCGAUGGGGAAGUGUAGGCCACAAGAAAUUGUGAUGGAUCCUUCAAUUGUGUUACCACUAAUCCUUCCGCCGAGGAGGCUAAGGAGAGUGGUUUUCCCACUGCCAGAAGGUCCCAUCAGAGCGAGAACCUCUCCAGGGCUUGCUGAACCUGUAAUGCUGUUAAGGAUUUCUUUCUCAGUGCUUGUUGUUACGCCUUUGAGGAUAACCUUGUAUCUAACCUCUGUAAACUGCAAGAUUGAUGAAAGAAUUGGUGAUAGAAAUGCCUUUUAGUUGGUAUAAAUGAAUAUACUUGAUGAGCUUAUGGUUA